rnacentral:rRNA from 1 species
UACGUAGGGCGCAAGCGUUAUCCGGAAUUAUUGGGCGUAAAGGGCUCGUAGGCGGUUUGUCACGUCGGGAGUGAAAACCCAGGGCUCAACCCUGGGCCUGCUUCCGAUACGGGCAGACUAGAGGUAUGCAGGGGAGAACGGAAUUCCUGGUGUAGCGGUGAAAUGCGCAGAUAUCAGGAGGAACACCGGUGGCGAAGGCGGUUCUCUGGGCAUUACCUGACGCUGAGGAGCGAAAGUGUGGGGAGCGAACAGG